rnacentral:lncRNA from 1 species
AUGGGACUCUGUGCUAGCUCAACAUUGGACUUUGAGGACUCUCAUUCUACACUGUUCAUACGAAGUUCAGCCCUGGUGAACUGUUGUCCCACCCCUCGGAGGUUACUACAGCACAGAGAUCUCCUCCUCCUGAGGUUACUACAGUACAGAGAUCUCCUCCUCCUGAGGUUACUACAGUACAGAGAUCUCCUCCUCCUGAGGUUACUACAGCACAGAGAUCUCCUCCUGAGGUUACUACAGUACAGAGAUCUCCUCCUGAGGUUACUACAGCACAGAGAUCUCCUCCUCCUGAGGUUACUACAGCACAGAAAUCUCCUCCUGAGGUUACUACAGCACAGAGAUCUCCUCCUGAGGUUACUACAGCACAGAGAUCUCCUCCUGAGGUUACUACAGCACAGAGAUCUCCUCCUGAGGUUACUACAGCACAGAGAUCUCCUCCUGAGGUUACUACAGCACAGAGAUCUCCUCCUGAGGUUACUACAGCACAGAGAUCUCCUCCUGAGGUUACUACAGCACAGAGAUCUCCUCCUGAGGUUACUACAGCACAGAGAUCUCCUCCUGAGGUUACUACAGCACAGAGAUCUCCUCCUGAGGUUACUACAGCACAGAGAUCUCCUCCUGAGGUUACUACAGCACAGAGAUCUCCUCCUGAGGUUACUACAGCACAGAGAUCUCCUCCUGAGGUUACUACAGUACAGAGAUCUCCUCCUCCUGAGGUUACUACAGUACAGAGAUCUCCUCCUCCUGAGGUUACUACAGUACAGAGAUCUCCUCCUCCUGAGGUUACUACAGCACAGAGAUCUCCUCCUGAGGUUACUACAGCACAGAGAUCUCCUCCUGAGGUUACUACAGUACAGAGAUCUCCUCCUCCUGAGGUUACUACAGUACAGAGAUCUCCUCCUCCUGAGGUUACUACAGUACAGAGAUCUCCUCCUCCUGAGGUUACUACAGCACAGAGAUCUCCUCCUCCUGAGGUUACUACAGCACAGAGAUCUCCUCCUCCUGAGGUUACUACAGUAG